rnacentral:rRNA from 1 species
UACGUAGGGCGCAAGCGUUGUCCGGAAUUAUUGGGCGUAAAGAGCUCGUAGGCGGUUUGUCGCGUCUGUCGUGAAAGCUUGGGGCUUAACCCCAAGUCUGCGGUGGAUACGGGCAGACUAGAGGCAGGUAGGGGAGAACGGAAUUCCCGGUGUAGCGGUGAAAUGCGCAGAUAUCGGGAGGAACACCGGUGGCGAAGGCGGUUCUCUGGGACGGUACUGACGCUGAGACGCGAAAGCGUGGGGAGCGAACAGG